rnacentral:rRNA from 1 species
UUCCGGUUGAUCCUGCCGGAGGCGACCGCUAUUGGAGUUCGAUUAAGCCAUGCGAGUCUAGAGGCAUAGCCUCGGCGUACCGCUCAGUAACACGUGGAUAACCUGCCCUGUUCAGGGGGAUAACCUCGCGAAAGUGAGAAUAAUACCCCAUAGUUCACCAUGCCUGGAACGGUUGGUGGAUAAAAGCUCAGGCGGAACAGGAUGGGUCUGCGGCGUAUCAGGUUGUAGGGGGUGUAAUGGACCUCCUAGCCAUCGACGCGUACGGGUUGUGGGAGCAAUCGCCCGGAGAUGGAUUCUGAGACACGAAUCCAGACCCCACGGGGUGCAGCAGGCGCGAAAACUUGACAAUGCGAGAAAUCGUGAUCAGGGAACUCCAAGUGGCCCACUUUUUAGUGGUGUCUGAACCGACUCUAAACAGGUCGGGUAAUAGGGGCGGGAAAUAUCGGUGCCAGCCGCCGCGGUAAUACCGAAGCCCCAAGUGGUCGUCGAUCUUAUUGGGCCUAAAACGUCCGUAGCCGGUUUGGUACAUUCGUGGGUAAAUCAGACAGCUUAACUGUUUGAAUUCUGCGAGGACGGCCAAACUUGAGACCGGGAGAGGUGUAGGGUACCUGCGGGGUAGGGGUAAAAUCCUGUCAUCCCGU